GACGAACGCUGGCGGCGUGCUUAACACAUGCAAGUCGAACGGAAAGGCCUGCUUUCCCUUGUGGAUUGCGGGUACUCGAGUGGCGAACGGGUGAGUAACACGUGAGUGAUCUGCCCCCAACUUGGGUAUAAGCCUGGGAAACUGGGUCUAAUUCCCGAUAGGACUGCAGGGUGGUGCCUGUGGUGGAAAUCGAUUUUCUAGUGGUUGGGGAUGAGCUCGCGGCCUAUCAGCUUGUUGGUGGGGUAAUGGCCUACCAAGGCGGCGACGGGUAGCCGGCCUGAGAGGGUGGACGGCCACAUUGGGACUGAGAUACGGCCCAGACUCCUACGGGAGGCAGCAGUGGGGAAUAUUGCACAAUGGGCGGAAGCCUGAUGCAGCGACGCCGCGUGGGGGAUGACGGCCUUCGGGUUGUAAACUCCUUUCGACCGCGAGGAAGCCACCUGGUUGGAAGGGUGGUGACGGUAGUGGUAGAAGAAGCACCGGCUAACUACGUG
rnacentral:rRNA from 1 species